AGACCCGAAACCCGGUGAUCUAGCCAUGGGCAGGUUGAAGGUUGGGUAACACUAACUGGAGGACCGAACCGACUAAUGUUGAAAAAUUAGCGGAUGACCUGUGGCUGGGGGUGAAAGGCCAAUCAAACCGGGAGAUAGCUGGUUCUCCCCGAAAGCUAUUUAGGUAGCGCCUCGUGAAUUCAUCUCCGGGGGUAGAGCACUGUUUCGGCUAGGGGGCCAUCCCGGCUUACCAACCCGAUGCAAACUGCGAAUACCGGAGAAUGUUAUCACGGGAGACACACGGCGGGUGCUAACGUCCGUCGUGAAGAGGGAAACAACCCAGACCGCCAGCUAAGGUCCCAAAGUCAUGGUUAAGUGGGAAACGAUGUGGGAAGGCCCAGACAGCCAGGAUGUUGGCUUAGAAGCAGCCAUCAUUUAAAGAAAGCGUAAUAGCUCACUGGUCGAGUCGGCCUGCGCGGAAGAUGUAACGGGGCUAAACCAUGCACCGAAGCUGCGGCAGCGAACGUAUCACCCAAGACAACUUUACGGAGUUGACGAUUGACGGAGCGAAGCGACGUCAAAGCGUUCAUUAAAGUCGAGUUGGCUUAGGGAUACGUUCGUUGGGUAGGGGAGCGUUCUGUAAGCCUGUGAAGGUGUGUCGUGAGGCAUGCUGGAGGUAUCAGAAGUGCGAAUGCUGACAUAAGUAACGAUAAAGCGGGUGAAAAGCCCGC
rnacentral:rRNA from 1 species